rnacentral:rRNA from 1 species
GAUGAACGCUGGCGGCGUGCCUAAUACAUGCAAGUCGAGCGAACGGACGAGAAGCUUUCUUCUCUGAUGUUGGCGGCGGUCGGGUUAUUAACUCGUGGUUAACCUACCUAUUAGACUGGGCUACCUUCGGCAAACCGGAGCUAAUACCGGAUAAUAUUUUGAACCGCAUGGUUCACGCGUGAAAGACGGUCUUGCUGUCACUUAUAGAUGGCUCCGCCCUGCAUUAGCUAGUUGGUAAGGUAACGGCUUACCCAGGCAACGAUGCAUACCCGACCUGAGAGGGAGAUCGGUCACCCGGGAACUGAGACACGGUCCAGACUCCGACGGGGGGAAGCAGUAGGGAAUCUUCCGCAAGGGGCGAGAGCGUGACGGAGCAACGCCGCGUGAGUGAUGAAGGUCUUCGGAUCGGAAAACUAUGUUAGUAGGGAAGAACAUAUGUGUAAGUAACUGUGCAGAUCUUGACGGUACCGAAUCAGAAAGCCACGGCUAACUACGUG